rnacentral:rRNA from 1 species
UCGGAUCGCUGUGAUGCGGGCGGUUCGCUGCCCGUGACUCUGCGAGAAGUCCAUUGAACCUUAUCAUUUAGAGGAAGGAGAAGUCGUAACAAGGUUUCCGUAGGUGAACCUGCGGAAGGAUCAUUGUCGAGAUCGAAUUAUAUCGAGUGAUUCAGAGAACCUGUGAAAUAUCAUAACAUUCGUGCCAAUUGAAGGCCUUGCCACACGUCGGGGCCACCAUGCGGGGUGAAUGAAACUCAAACCGGCGCAGUUGGGCGCCAAGGGACUAUUAACGAGACACGAGCUCCAUGGGGCUUAGUGGCGUGGAGUGCUAUUGCACAACACAUUUAUCGAAACGACUCUCGGCAAUGGAUAUCUCGGCUCUUGCAUCGAUGAAGAGCGCAGCGAAAUGCGAUACGUGGUGCGAAUUGCAGAAUCCCGCGAACCAUCGAGAAUUUGAACGCAAGUUGCGCCCGAGGCCAGCUGGCUAAGGGCACGUCCGCCUGGGCGUCAAGCGUUGCAUCGCUCCGUGCCAGCUUCGUCUCACUCAGAUGGGUGCGAAUGCGCGGGCGUCGGAUGUGAAGAGUGGCUCGUCGUGCGCUUCGUCGCGGCGGGCUGAAGAGUGGGUGAUCGUCUCGUUGGCAACGAGCAGCAAGGGGUGGAUAAAGUUGUGCAAGUGCUGCAUCUUGUCGGCAUGAGAACAGAUUAGACCCUACAGAUGAUCCCUACCAAGUGUCGAUCAAUUGGCGACGGCUUGGAAUGCGACCCCAGGAUGGGCGAGGCCACCCGCUGAGUUUAAGCAUAUCAAUAAGCGGAGGAGAAGAAACUUACAAGGAUUCCCCUAGU